rnacentral:tRNA from 1 species
GCGAGCGUAGUUUAGUGGUAAAACUACAGCCUUCCAAGCUGUUGUUGUGGGUUCGAUUCCCACCGCUCGCU